GCGAAGGUAGCAUAAUCACUAGUCUUUUAAUUGGAGGCUUGAAUGAAUGGUCGAAUGAGGGACAUUCUGUCUCUCUCUUAUUUGUAGAAUUUAACUUUUGAGUGAAAAGGCUUAGAUUUGAUGAAGUGACGAUAAGACCCUAUAAAACUUUAUAUUGUCUUUUUUAAAUUGGAAAUUAAGUUUAAAUCAUUUUAAGAUGGAUUGUAUUUCGUUGGGGAAACGUUGAUAUAAAUAUAUAAUUGUUUAUUUGAAUUUUAUAGUUAUGGUUAGUUUGUGAUCCUUUAUUAAAGAUUAAAAGUUUAAGUUACUUUAGGGAUAACAGCGUAAUUUUCUCUGAGAGUUCUUAUCGAAGAGAGUAGUUGCGACCUCGAUGUUGAAUUAAAAUUUCAGGUUGGUGUAGCCGCUUUCCUGGUAGGUCUGUUCGACCUUUAAAAUUUUACAUGAUUUGAGUUCAAACCGGUGUGAGCCAGG
rnacentral:rRNA from 1 species